UAGGAGAUUAUCUCCAGUCUUCAGUCGAUGAACUUGGACCAUCAGGCAAAAAACAUCAACAACACAAACACAGACCACAGUUUCCAGGAUCCAGCUCUGUGUCCAUGAACAGUGACAUGUCCAGAGAUUAUCCUCCAGUCUUCAGUCAUGAACCUGGACCUUCAGGCACACAACGUAAACAACACAAACACCAAGCAGAGUUUCCAGGAUCCAGCUCUGUGUCCAUGAACAGUGACAUGUCCAGAGAUUAUCCUCCAGUCUUCAGUCAUGAACCUGGACCCCCAAUCACACAGUAAGAGG